UCACUAUUAAUUCGACUUAGCCAUGUCAUGAUAAUAAAUAGGCACAGAUGAAAGUGAUGCUCUUAGAAUAUAAAGUCUUAACAAUCCAGACUCUGACCACCUUUAAAUUCCUCAAAUAGUCUUUGGUUGCUAGCUCAGGACUUUAGGAUCUGCUCUUGCUCCACCUGGAACAGGGUGAUGACUAUUGAAGGUACUCCAUAGACGUGAUAUGAAUAUGUGAAUGAAUAAGUGAAGGAAGAAAGAGUGAAAAAAUU